GCUAGGCAUGGUGGCGUGUGCCUGAAGUCCCAGCUACACGGGAGGCUGAGGUGGGAGGAUUGCUUGAGCGCAGAAGUUUUGAGCUGCACAGUGCACUAUGCCAAUGGGGUGUCAACACUAAGACUGGCAUCAAUAUUAUGACCUCCUGGAGGGAACGAGGGACCACCACAUUGCCUAAGGAGGGGUGAACUGGCCCAGCUUGGAAAUGGAGCAGGUCAAAAUUCCCUUGCCGAUAGGUAGUGGGAUCAAACCUGUGAAAGCCACUGCACUGCAACCUGGCAACACAGCAAGACCUCACCUCU
rnacentral:SRP_RNA from 1 species